rnacentral:misc_RNA from 1 species
AACAGUCAAGUUCCGAUCAAAUCACACUUUAACAACGAUCCUUCUAUUGUUUCUUGGUUACUAGAUCGAGAUCAGACCGAGAACGAACUGGGAUCAGCACUAUAAUGUGGUUCUGGCCUUAUACACGGGCGUAGCUCAGGGGAUGAAUAUUUGGUGGGACCUCUUAGAAAAAUUUAUGAGGUUUAGAAAAGAUCAUAGAUGUGAAAGCCCGUGAUUUGCUUAAGAGUUCGAUAGCUACGAAAUUUUAUACUUUCCUCUUAAAAAUCAAUGUUUAAAGCUUGGUGUAACCAUUACUCCCAAUUGAUGUUGUAUUCAUCUAAUUGUGUGUAGACUAAAAAUAAUAGACUGUACUUAUUUUAAAAUUUUUGAUGUAAUUUACUCUUUCUAUAAAUAUUCUAAAGUUUGAUUUUAUAAUUCGACCAGAAAAAAAUUAUUAAACUAUUUUUAGAUUUAAGAUUAAAUUUACAAGAUCAAAUAUAGAAUGAGGUUGUAUUCAAUGUAUAAAAAUGUCUCUAAACGCGUAAACAAUAACGGGUCCCUUAUAUAUUUAAUUUUCUGAUUGUUUUCGAAGUAAACAAAAUAUAUACUAGUGCAAGGAUUAAAUUUAUUUUUUUUAUGAAUCUCGAGAAUCUAUCUAAGUGACUUACGCCGAGUUGUACGAAACAAAAUUAAAAUUUAAGUAGAGAUUAAACUAAUUUAAUCACAAGAAUUUCAUACAAUUCUUGCGAUUAAAUUAGUUUAAUCACUACUUAAAUUUUAAUUUCUUUUCGUGCAACUCGGCGUUAGUAAAAUAAUUAUUAUUUAUUGCCUCCUUUUCCCAAUGAAAAUAAUUAUUUAAUGGUUCAAUUACUCAGAAAUAAAUAAAAUUAACUAACAGAAGAGACGGUAACAUUUUAUGUAUAUCUUAUAAAUUAUGUACAUCACAUACUUGAGCAUUGUUACAGAGUGCCGACAUGGCAUAUCCAAAUAUAUUUAAUGUAUACUGUCAGGUGGUUCCGCACAUGUAAGUUACGACUAACAGAACAAUAUUUGGCACUGUUUUCCAGUCAGAUACAAGGCAAACAAUCGUUUGUUGUACUUGUGUAUAUUAAAUAUAACCUCAUCUUGAGAUACUAUGCAGAUUAAAAUAUUAGUUAGUGUUUAUUGAUGUUACGUACUUACGUAGACCUUAGUGGAAAUUGUUGUAUAGGUAAUUAAUUAGAUGUCUUUACGGCGGAAGGAUACCGAUAGAAAAUGAAAUGUUUUAUAAUACGUUGCAGUUUUUGCAAACAAAGAAAUUAAUAUAUUAUCGAAAUUUAAUAAAAUUAUCUGUAUCCUUUCGAUAGGUAGUUGAAAAAAAAAAAGAAUUUGUACUCUCUACAGUGGCAUAGCGUGGGUUUUUGCCGCCCGGAGUCCAACGAAAAUUUGCUGUACCCAUUUUUUUUACAAUUUUUCUUGACUCUUGACCUUCAAUGAAUAGCUUUUUUAACAGAUGGAAUGACGACUUUUGGCAUAUUUUUUCUUCUGGUUUUGCCAGUCUCUACCCAUAAUAGUUUGAUCGGACUGUUUAGUUCAUAAAUGUUACGUCAAUACAAUUUGUUGUUAAUGUAAUGGUGCGUGUGCCGUGUCGCCGGCGCCUAAACACCGACGGUCGCGGCUUCGAUUCCCGCUCGGAGUGGAUAUUUGUGUUUUUUACAAAUAUUUAUUUCCGGUCUGGUUGUUAGUCAUUGUGCGUUUCCCCAUCGUGCCUCAGAGAGCAGCCUUAGCGAGCGAGGUGGAUUUACAAAUUUCCAUCCAGUAUGAUACUUAUUUAUUAUUUUUUCCCGCCCCAAACUCUCUAGCGACUCCCUCUCUCUUCCUAAAUUUUGCCGCUCCUUGCACCAACCUACGAGUUACAAGCAUUUUCAAUAAAAAAAUCUUACCGUUUUAACCAAAAUUCUGACAACAUUCCUAACAUAUUGCCGACAUAGUGAUAAGAGAUUAAUCAGAACACGCUGUGCAUGUUGGUGGUAGCGUUUGUAUUAAAUUCUUUACUAAUUACUACAAGUGAGAACGUAGGAUUACUAUUGCACUUCGGCUGCUCACCCACGCUAUGCCACCGAUUCUCUAGUUUUAAAUGUACACGUAUUCCUUCAGGGCUCAAUUUUUAAAUAUUAUGCUUAAGAAAGACUAGCAGCAAAGGCAAUAUUUUACUUUUAGUACAAGAUUGUUUACUACGUUUGUGUUAUAUUAUUUACAAUUAGAUGUAAGAGAUACAUAUGUGUGCGACUGUCACUUGUCCGAACAAUAGGUACCUAUCAAUGUAACCCAAUAUGAUUUUAGUUUUGCUAAAUAUUUGAACUAAAUAUAAAAUUAUCUUAGGAGUGUAGUUAUAGAGUACCUACUGCUAAUUCUUGUUUUGAAUUUUGCUUCGUAUCGGGACUUGAUCCCUUUUGAAUUUUGGUAUAAAAAACCCUUUCUGUUGAUUCAUGUCAACCGUGUACAUGCUGAGCUUUUAAUAGCAGCUUUAGCGUGAAAGGCAACACAUAUUCAAAAAUGUUCGCGUUUAAUACUAUUUACACAAGUAGUACCUACGGUCUACAUAACCCACGCGGUUAAACGUACAAAUAAUUUGUAAAACGGAAGGUUUUGAGAUUGUAAUGUUCCAGUAAAAAAAAUUCUUCUGCUUCAUCAUCAGUUAGAUCUUGAUUAAAAUUAACUAUUUUUGAAAAAUUCAAUUACUUAAACAGGUAAGAGUUGGGGCGAAAAAUCGUUAUUGAUAUAUUUUUUAAAGCUAUAUCAUCAAAAGCAGAAAUAAUUUUGUUUCUUUGAAUUAUAAACUCCGAUAAAAAAUUCUUUAAAAACCGUCCAUAUUUUUAUCGUAUGAACACAUGCACUUUAACAAAGAUCAUUUAAAAUAUGUUAUUUUCUUUAUAUUAUUUGAUAAAAAUAAUUUUGAAUUGUUUAAAACAUCGAUUAGGUACCUAUUUUAUACCAAAAUCUUAAUAUAAAGGGCUUUUGAGGAAAAAUCAUAAAAUUUGUUUUACCAUUUAAGUAUUUCCUAAGUAUUGAAAAAUCACUAGCGCUCUAUUGCUAAAGUUUAUUAAACGCCUCACGGUCGCAAAUGAAAUUGAUGUUCUAAUAUUUUGGUCGAAUACUUGUUUCUCUUUAAAAAUAUAUUACAUGCCAAAGAAAUAAAUUUCAUUGUUUUUACUAAGAUUCGAACCACUGAUGGAUGUGGAAACACUAUCUGACAGAUCUUUAUAUUAGCCCUGAAACUUAAUGGUCUAGUCGUUAAUGAAAUUAGUGUACUCUUAUAAUUAUAAUUGAGUAUUGUAGUUUGUUUGACGAAUAAAUGUAUUAAAACAUAUAUAUUGUAUCUUUUAUAACAAUAUCCCAAAUCCAAAAAAAUUAAUAGUGCCCGUUAUAUGAACACAAGUGGUAAAAAAGGUACAUCUAAGUUACUAAAAGGUAUGACACGAAACUUUUAAGUUCACCAAACGUUAUAGAGGUAGAUAGAUAUAUAUGACAGUUGUAGGUAUUAGCGAAAUAUUCGCGUCGUACGAAAUUCGCUCCGCGCGUGUUA